GAGGCGUCAUCCUCUCUACCCAAUGGCUCUAUCCGGUCUAUCUCGGAUUAUGCUAUUGAAUUCCGUACCUUGUCUGAUGUGCAUUAGGGCAGUGGAGGCGUCAUCCUCUCUACCCAAUGGCUCAAACGUGAGCUUGAAUUCGGCAAGGAAUUCCUGGUAAUUAUGAGCUAUGCUCCGAUUACUCUCCCACAACGGAUUAGCCCAGGCAAGGGCCUUG